GACGAACGCUGGCGGCGUGCUUAACACAUGCAAGUCGACAUGAGUGGCGAACGGGUGAAGAAUACGUGGGGAACGUGCCCUCCUUUUUGGGGUAAGCCGUGGAAACGGGGUCUAAUACCGGAUAAAGGGGGAUGGGCUCGCGGCCGAUUAGCUUGGGGGUGGGGUGCUGGCCUACCAAGGCGGUGACGGGUGGCCGGCCUGAGAAGGGGAACGGCAACAUUUGGACGGUGACACGGCCCAGACUCCUACGGGAUGUAGCAGGUGGGGAGAUUGCACAAUUGGCGAAAGCCCCAUGCCGCGACGCCGCGGGGGGGAUGAAGGCUUUCGGGUUGUAAACCUCUUUAGCUAGCGAACCGGUAGGUGGAGAAGAAGCGCCGGCUAACUACGUGCCAGCAGCCGCGGUAAUAC
rnacentral:rRNA from 1 species